rnacentral:rRNA from 1 species
AGCAGCCGCGGUAAUUCCAGCUCCAAUAGCGUAUAUUAAAGUUGUUGCAGUUAAAAAGCUCGUAGUUGAAUUUCGGGAUCAAUUAAUUGGUCGUGCCUCUGGUACGUACUGAUUUUAUUGGUUUCUCCCUUCUGACGAACCAUGAUGUCAUUAAUUUGGUGUCGUGGAGAAUCAGGACUGUUACUUUGAAAAAAUUAGAGUGUUUAAGCAAGCUAACGCUUGAAUACAUUAGCAUGGAAUAAUGAAAUAGGACGUUUGAUCCUAUUUUGUUGGUUUCUAGGAUCGACGUAAUGAUUAAUAGGGAUAGUUGGGGGCAUUAGUAUUCAAUUGUCAGAGGUGAAAUUCUUGGAUUUAUUGAAGACUGACUACUGCGAAAGCAUUUGCCAAGGAUGUUUUCAUUAAUCAAGAACGAAAGUUAGGGGAUCGAAGACGAUCAGAUACCGUCGUAGUCUUAACCAUAAACUAUGCCGACUAGGGAUCGGAUGAUGUUAAUUUUUUAAUGACUCAUUCGGCGCCUUAC